AGUAACACGUGGGAAUCUACCCUUUGGUGGGAACAACACGCUGAAAGGCGUGCUAAUACCGCAUAAUCUCCGGCGUAAGUCGGAGGAAAGCCCUUCGGGGCGCCAGAAGAUGAGCCUGCGGCUGAUUAGCUAGUUGGUGGGGUAAAGGCCUACCAAGGCGGUGAUCAGUAGCUGGUCUGAGAGGACAGCCAGCCACACUGGGACUGCGAUACGGCCCAG
rnacentral:rRNA from 1 species